UUCGGUGGCUAUGGCGGCGGGGUCACACCCGUUCCCAUUCCGAACACGGAAGUUAAGCCCGCCAGCGCCGAUGGUACUUGGGAGUAGACUCCCUGGGAGAGUAGGACGCCGCCGAAU
rnacentral:rRNA from 1 species